rnacentral:ncRNA from 1 species
CCUUAUUAAGAGCGGCGGAGGGAAUAGGCCCUGUGAAGCCCGGCAACCUGCGAUGUUUUUCCUGCAUAUUGCAGAAAACAGGUAAAGGUGCUAAAUCCUACAGGAUAUUGUAUUCUGAAAGAUGAGG